GAUGAACGCUGGCGGCGUGCUUAACACAUGCAAGUCGAACGGAGAGCCUAUGAGGGAGUUUUCGGACAACUGAUUAGGUUUCUUAGUGGCGGACGGGUGAGUAACGCGUGAGUAACCUGCCUUGGAGUGGGGAAUAACACAUCGAAAGGUGUGCUAAUACCGCAUAAUGCAGUUGGGUCGCAUGGCUCUGACUGCCAAAGAUUUAUCGCUCUGAGAUGGACUCGCGUCUGAUUAGCUAGUUGGUGGGGCAACGGCCCACCAAGGCGACGAUCAGUAGCCGGACUGAGAGGUUGACCGGCCACAUUGGGACUGAGACACGGCCCAG
rnacentral:rRNA from 1 species